AUAAUGUUAGUAUAAACAGUACGUAUUCCUUCCAAGAAUAAAGCUUUAGUAACAUUAUA
rnacentral:tRNA from 1 species